GUAAACUGCAUCAACGUCCUGUUGUGUCUUUUGGCCCAGUGUGGCCUCAACGUGCACUGACAUGGUGGGGAGCAAUGGCACUGCCCUGCAACUGUGCCAAUCUAGUUACUGCCGUGGCCAUCUGGGGCACCCACAGGCUCCAGCCUCCUGGGAUCAGCUGACUCCCCAUGAACGAAAUUCCAGUUGCCUUGAAACUAAGCCUUCACAUCUGAUUGGAACUUGAGCUUUGGCCCGAAUUAGGGAAGAGAAAGGAACCAAAACGUGUUUAACUCAUGUUCUGAGUUAGGAUUGUCCCAUUAUGUGACAAUUUAGGUGCAGACCAUGAAGCCCAGGCUCAAACUAGGGCCCUCCUUGUGCUCUCUGCUACAUCCGACGUCUAUUUGCUUUAGGACCCACCACCUUGAAGGAAGACACGAUGUCCACAAUGGGGAGGAUCGAGGCAUUCAGAUGGAGAUCCUGAGUCUUCCUGUGAUGGCUCUGACUGGUACUGGUUGGAGAAAGUCGCACGUGUCCACUCACAACCCAGCUCUUCGACAUCCAGAAGAGAACAUGGGACACCCGCACGGCGAGGCUCUGCAUGCUGGUUCUCACGUCAUUUCUCCUCACACGCUUCGGGUACCACUGUACGGCGUAGAAUGUCUUUGUUAAUACAAACGCAGGAGCUCCAACACUUUCAACCUCGUUCAUCAAUGGCGCCAUGGUCACCUGGUAGACCAUGCUUUUAAUUCAAGCUCCUUCUCGUGUUCAAAACAUUCUUGGAACCCAUCUUUUAAAGACUCCCUUCCAAAGGUGCUGCAUUCUUGAAUAUCCUCAGUGAAUGAAAUCAUCACACUUUGGGGGAGAGUUUGAUUUUUGGAAACAGUCAAACAUCUUGAUAGCAGUUUAGUAAGCGUGGUCACUUCUGAAGCUAAAGAAUAUUGUUAGUAGUGUUAAAGGAAGUGUGAUAAUAAGUAAAGAGAUUUGCCUUGGAAAUGACUGGAAAAACAUUUCUGAAUAGAGCUAUGUUUUAGCGACAGCAGCAUUCUCAGGGGAAAUUUGGUAGCUUCCCAAAGUGACUCUCCUGAUGGGGCCAAUGAUUUAGUUCCAUUUGUCUUAGCUCUGCAGGUGUCAUAUGUUUUAUUUAAUGAUGAUGUUGAUCCUUUUUACAAUACUUAGCAAUGAAGUAGCCCCUCCCUCCAUCCUCCCACCCCCAUGUUCGCAAUAUACAUAGAAUCUUUAUGAAGUUGCAGAGGGAAGACGGGAAACAAAUCCAUUACCAAGGAGAGCGGCACCUUACCCUGACCUAGAGGAGGAAUCCCAAGGCUGCCAAGAGCUUAGGGAAGAAGAAGUGCAGUGCAGAGCAUCUUUCUGCAGAGCACCCCAGCUCCACUAUUCUGGACCUUCGGGGGGAUAGAGCACCAACGGAGAACUAUAGCUGAGGCACGUCUGCUAUGGUGAGCAGAAAGCAACCUACACGCUGUGACGUCUUUGAAACCACUGCCUGGUGUCCAGGGGAACCUUGCCCAUCAGUCAUGAUAACAAUGAAUUCAAGUAAAAAAUGAUUUUGUGGUUGAA